rnacentral:lncRNA from 1 species
GCCUUGUGAAAAAGAUGCUUGCUUCCUCUUCCCCUUCGGCCAUGAUUUAGAUAUCCAGCCAAUGAGAGAAAUAUCUGAGGGAGCAAAUACCUGAAAGUGUAGCAGAGAACAUGAAUGACCUCUUCAUAACAAGAAGUAAAUUGCAAUACUGAUUGACCAUGAAAAUCAGUAAUUCUAGGAGCUAAUCUUGAAACAAGCCAGGCAUGGAGACCCAGCUGCAGAACUCUCCUUCAUCUAGAGAUUACCUCAAGGUGGUUCAUCGACAAUGCAUCUGCAGUCGAGAUGGUGCCAGCUGGUACUGCACGAUAACUCAAGAGAGCAAUCAGAACAAGACAUGCAGACCAGUACUCUGCACCACUCUCAUAUGUUUUUCAUACCAAACUUCCCUUUUUAAACCCCUUCAAUCAGUCUAAAAAUUUGGAGGCUUGAGCCAAGCCAUCUCCUCAUCUGUUAGCAUUUAAAUAAAGCUGCUUUUCUUCAGCCACACC